GUUUCAGUGUGAUACCUUUAUUGAGGCGUACGGACCCUACGUCAUCCAGCUUCUGGCUCAGCUAGCCAAGCCUGAGGAAGUCUGUCGGCACUCCAAGUGUGCAAGGUUCAGGAUCAACCCAAACACCACCUGCUGGGAGAGAAGAAAUGCACGUUCGGACCGGCGUACUGGUGCGCAAGCGAGGACAACGCAAAGGAAUGCAACGCCAUGGAGCAUUGCAAGAACCACGCUUGGAACUGAUUCCCCUCCAGGGGGCGCCGCUAAUCUGUCGUAAAGAAGAUAAGUGAGGACUGCUGUGGGUUUGAUGAAGGUAGACCGCGUACACUUACACAAUUAUUCGCAUAAUUUCCUAAAGAAACAUUUACUAUUAAGAGGUUACGUACACAUUACUAACAGCUUCACAGAUUUCUGCUUUUACCUUUGUCGAUCUGCGUUUGCAAGCCGUACUACUAUAUAUGCACGUCGUACUCAUAAUCGUGGCAUAAUAUUGUCAGGAAAUAUUUUGUGUAAGAAUGUUAAAGUGAUUGCAAUUGUCGAUACAUGAAAGCGAUAAACGAUUGGUGAAGCUAUUACUGAUAUAAUCGUCAACUGUUUUACUGUUUUGCCGAAAGCAAUUUGUCGGCACGAAGGCUUAAGUGGUUAUUCUCACAAGGCCUGAAAAUAAUGCCCUACAUUUUGGAAAUGAGGCCUACAAAUCUAUACUAGUUAUUGUGAUUGUCAGUUGAUGUAAUCUGUCAUUGUAUGUAAGUUAGAUGUAAGAUUUUGGGCUGUUAUGGACGUAAAUUGCUCUGCGUGCGUUCAGUCAUAUUGCAAUUUUGGUUUUUACUAUGUAAUGAUUUCACAUAUAAUUCUGGCACUGGUGUUUUUUUCGAGCACCGCAUGCAACAAUAAUUGAAAAGAUCACGUCACGGUGAUAACGCGAUUGAUGGCGUCACAGAUAAUUCUGUGUAUACUAUAUGUGUAAUAUAUGUAGAUUCCAGUAUUGCUAAUAAGCCUUUAAACUGUCAAAUUUCGCACACGACAAUAAAUUCGUCGGAUUAAAAAAUAGCA